AAUCCUGUGGUGAGGGCAUUUACGUAGUAGCUCUUGAAUAUUUCCCAUGCCUCGUAUAGGGACUCAUCAUCCAUCUACUGAAAAGUGGUGAUCGCAUUCCAGAACUU
rfam:Gossypium raimondii Chr05_contig_806, whole genome shotgun sequence.